AACGAACGCUGGCGGCAUGCCUAACACAUGCAAGUCGAACGAACCCUUCGGGGUUAGUGGCGCACGGGUGCGUAACGCGUGGGAAUCUGCCCUUUGCUUCGGAAUAACAGUUAGAAAUGACUGCUAAUACCGGAUGAUGUCUUCGGACCAAAGAUUUAUCGGCAAAGGAUGAGCUCGCGUAGGAUUAGGUAGUUGGUGGGGUAAAGGCCUACCAAGCCGACGAUCCUUAGCUGGUCUGAGAGGAUGAUCAGCCACACUGGGACUGAGACACGGCGCAGACUCCUACGGGAGGCAGCAGUGGGGAAUAUUGGACAAUGGACGCAAGUCUGAUCCAGCAAUGCCGCGUGAGUGAUGAAGGCCUUAGGGUUGUAAAGCUCUUUUACCAGGGAUGAUAAUGACAGUACCUGGAGAAUAAGCUCCGGCUAACUCCGUGCCAGCCGCCGCGGUAACAC
rnacentral:rRNA from 1 species